rnacentral:rRNA from 1 species
UACAGAGGGGGCAAGCGUUGUUCGGAAUUACUGGGCGUAAAGAGCGCGCAGGCGGUCGAUCAAGUCGAGUGUGAAAGCCCCCGGCUCAACUGGGGAGGGUCAUUCGAUACUGAUCGACUCGAAGGCAGGAGAGGGUAGUGGAAUUCCCGGUGUAGUGGUGAAAUGCGUAGAUAUCGGGAGGAACACCAGUGGCGAAGGCGGUUGCCUGGGGCUUUGCUGACGCUGAUGCGCGAAAGCGUGGGGAGCGAUCCGG